UAACCUGCCCAAGAGAUCGGGAUAACACCUGGAAACAGAUGCUAAUACCGGAUAACAACAGAUGAUGCCUAUCAACUGUUUAAAAGAUGGUUCUGCUAUCACUCUUGGAUGGACCUGCGGUGCAUUAGCUAGUUGGUAGGGUAACGGCCUACCAAGGCGAUGAUGCAUAGCCGAGUUGAGAGACUGAUCCGGCCACAGUUGGGACUGAGACACGGCCCAAACUCCUACGGGAGGCAGCAGCA
rnacentral:rRNA from 1 species